GAUGAACGCUGGCGGCGUGCCUAAUACAUGCAAGUCGAGCGAACGGACGAGAAGCUUGCUUCUCUGAUGUUAGCGGCGGACGGGUGAGUAACACGUGGAUAACCUACCUAUAAGACUGGGAUAACUUCGGGAAACCGGAGCUAAUACCGGAUAAUAUUUUGAACCGCAUGGUUCAAAAGUGAAAGACGGUCUUGCUGUCACUUAUAGAUGGAUCCGCGCUGCAUUAGCUAGUUGGUAAGGUAACGGCUUACCAAGGCAACGAUGCUUAGCCGAACUGAGAGGGGGAUCGGCCACACUGGAACUGAGACACGGUCCAGACUCCUACGGGAGGCAGCAGUAGGGAAUCUUACGCAAUGGGCGAAAGCCUGACGGAGCAACGCCGCGUGAGUGAUGAAGGUCUUCGGAUCGUAAAACUCUGUUAUUAGGGAAGAACAUAUGUGUAAGUAACUGUGCACAUCUUGACGGUACCUAAUCAGAAAGCCACGGCUAACUACGUG
rnacentral:rRNA from 1 species